CCAGGGGUAUGUGACGGGCGGAGGACAUUA
rnacentral:rRNA from 1 species